rnacentral:rRNA from 1 species
GAUCAUGGCUCAGAUUGAACGCUGGCGGAACGCUUUACACAUGCAAGUCGAACGGUAACGCGGAGAGAAGCUUGCUUCUCACCGGCGACGAGUGGCGAACGGGUGAGUAAUACAUCGGAACGUGUCCGCUCGUGGGGGACAACCAGCCGAAAGGUUGGCUAAUACCGCAUGAGUUCUACGGAAGAAAGAGGGCCGGCAGGC